rnacentral:rRNA from 1 species
CCUACGGGGUGCUGCAGUGAGGAAUAUUGGUCAAUGGACGAGAGUCUGAACCAGCCAAGUAGCGUGAAGGAUGACUGCCCUAUGGGUUGUAAACUUCUUUUAUAUGGGAAUAAAAUGUUCCACGUGUGGGAUUUUGUAUGUACCAUAUGAAUAAGGAUCGGCUAACUCCGUGCCAGCAGCCGCGGUAAUACGGAGGAUCCGAGCGUUAUCCGGAUUUAUUGGGUUUAAAGGGAGCGUAGGUGGAUUGUUAAGUCAGUUGUGAAAGUUUGCGGCUCAACCGUAAAAUUGCAGUUGAAACUGGCAGUCUUGAGUACAGUAGAGGUGGGCGGAAUUCGUGGUGUAGCGGUGAAAUGCUUAGAUAUCACGAAGAACUCCGAUUGCGAAGGCAGUUCACUGGACUGCAACUGACACUGAGGCUCGAAAGUGUGGGUAUCAAACAGGAGUAGAUACCCGAGUAGUC